rnacentral:lncRNA from 1 species
UCAGCCCCAGGCCCAGCUAGCCCCCGCGAUUUUUUUCUUUCUCGCGCACGAGGACGAGGAGCAGAGUAGGACGUGCCGCCGAAGCGGGGCACAGCGUGUGCCCCGUGGUUGCGUGUGACGACGGAUUUGACCGCCAUCGGCGACAAAGUCUCAACUAUAGAAAACCCAAAACAGAUGGUAGCUCGUCGUUUUCCUGAACUUGUCUCGGUCGUCGGCGCUCGUUCGCGAUGGCAUUUGGCACGUAGGUGCUGACGCGCGUCCGAGAACAUGUAACUCGCUGGAUUGGGCGUGUGGGGACAUUAUACUUUCGCUCCGUCGGUGGUCCAUGCUGUUUUUGCUGUGUAGUGCAAGUAGCAAAAAUGCAACUUCUCUGCGGAUGCAAUUGAGCUGAGCUCUCGGUUCGGUCGGCAAUGUCCGUCUAGUUAGACGAAAGUCACGGAAACAUUGGAGCUUCCGAGUUCUAAUUUCAGGGAAGCAUCAAUUUAACAGAAAAUCGGCGUAUGGCGCUGAAUUGCACGCCUCGUGCGAGGCUGUACCCUGUUGGGUAGUGUUUUGUGGAAGCUCCAAGACAAUUUAAUUAACCCUUAAUUAAUUUCAUUUACAUCAUUUUUUUAAAUUAGUUUUGUUGCCUCACAGGAAAUUACCACUCCCUCCGAUUUAUAA